GUCGGGAUAGCUCAGCUGGUAGAGCAG
rnacentral:ncRNA from 19 species